rnacentral:rRNA from 1 species
GACGAACGCUGGCGGCGUGCCUAAUACAUGCAAGUCGAACGCAGUGGGGACGGGGGAGUAACACGUGGGUAACCGCCCAUCAGAGGGGAUAACAAGGGGAAACAGGGGCUAAAAGGAUACUGAGGGAUGGACCCGCGGGGCAUUAGCUAGUUGGUGAGGUAACGGCUCACCAAGGCAACGAUGCAUAGCCGACCUGAGGUGGUGAUCGGCCACACUGGGACUGAGCCACGGCCCAGACUCCUACGGGUGGCAGCAGUAGGGAAUCUUCGGACAUGGACGAAAGUCUGACCGAGCAACGCCGCGUGAGUGAAGAAGGUUUUCGGAUCGUAACACUCUGUUGUUAGAGAAGCGUUCUCUACCCCUCAAGCCACGGCUAACUACGUGCCAGCAGCCGCGGUAAUUC